rnacentral:tRNA from 1 species
GCGCCGUUAGCUCAGUUGGUAGAGCAGCUGACUCUUAAUCAGCGGGUCCGGAGUUCGAGUCUCCGACGGCGCA